GCACGGUAUGGUUUCGGCCAUGCAGUGGCGGACGGGUGAGUAACGCGUAGGGAUCUGUCCUUGGGUGGGGGAUAACCGUGGGAAACUGCGGCUAAUACCGCAUGACACCUGUGGGUCAAAGGCGAGAGUCGCCUGGGGAGGAGCCUGCGUACGAUUAGCUAGUUGGUGGGGUAAGGGCCUACCAAGGCGACGAUCGUUAGCUGGUCUGAGAGGAUGAUCAGCCACACUGGGACUGAGACACGGCCCAGACUCCUACGGGAGGCAGCAGUGGGGAAUAUUGGACAAUGGGCGCAAGCCUGAUCCAGCAAUGCCGCGUGGAUGAAGAAGGUUUUCGGAUUGUAAAGUCCUUUCGGCGGGGACGAUGAUGACGGUACCCGCAGAAGAAGCCCCGGCUAACUUCGUGC
rnacentral:rRNA from 1 species